CACUGUGAUAGCUGGGGUGGCACUGUGAUAUAGAUCCAUACAAAAACUUAAGAGCAAUAAUCUGACACUCUGCAUUUCUUGUGAUGGAAAAAGGACAGGACAAAGCAUUUCUCAUUGGAAUAUGAGGUUUUUGUACAAGCAGUGAGUGGAGAUGCAGCACUGUGAUUUCUUCGACUACUGGGGUCGUGGGACUGAAGUCACAGUAUCUACAGGAACACCCACACCACCAACACCACCCACUCUGUUCCCUUUGGUUCAGUGCCAACCUGGGUCUGGAGAUAAAAUCACUGUUGGUUGUUUUGCACGUGACUUCUACCCAAAGAGUCUUACAUUCCAGUGGACCGAUGCCAGUGGGAGAACCCUGACUUCUGAAAAUUAUCCUCCAGCUGAGAAAAACAACAAAUAUACAGGAGUCAGUUUGGUCAAAGUAUCAAAAUCUGACUGGGAUUCAAGGAAGUCUUUUAAAUGUUCUGUAAAUCACAACGGAUCUCCCAAAAAUCUGCAAGUACAAAAGCCUAUUCCUCCAAAAAUGACUUUGCUAUCAGUGCCAAGUGAAGACACCCAGGCCCUGGUGUGCACGAUUGAGGGCAGUAAUGGAACACUUGAUUCAUUCAAGUGGAAAAAGAAUGACGCAGAGUUGAACGACUACAUUGAAAGUCCCAUCCAAAGAACUGGAGACUUAUAUUCAGCUGUCAGUGUCCUGAAGGUCAACAACGCAGACUGGGACAGUAACGCUGUGUAUACCUGUGAGGUGACUUACAGAGAAACACAAUAUAAAAAGAAGGCCUCAAAAGCUCCAUUCAAAGUGACACUGAACCAACCAAGUGCCAAAGGAAUUUUCAGCAACAACCGGGCAGAGUUGGAGUGUAUCAUUACAGGACAAGACAAGACAAUUGUAAAUACAAUUCAAGUCACUUGGCAAAUUGAUGGACAAAAUGUGACCAACAACAUUGCUGAAUCAACAUCGUCCAGCGGCGGUCAGCACAGCAAAACCAGUACAAUGACUCUGACUGAGUGGCAGAGAGUCAACAAAGUGCGCUGUUCUGCCAUUAAAGAUGAUAUGACUCCAGUUAUUCAGGAUCUGACUGUCCACAAAGGAGAUGGGAGUGAGCCAAAAGUGACAGUCCAUGUUCUCCCAGAGGAGGACAUCAGCAAAGGAGCUGUGGUCUCUCUGGUGUGUCUGGUCUCUGGUCCUGUGAUGCAGGAUUACUACAUCGCCUGGUCAGAGGGAACUGAAAAUAAGGCCGGCAUCUAUAUGGAUGGCAUUAACUUCCCCCCACAGAAGAUCCAACAAGGCUACUUAGUUACAAGUAUUUACACCACCACCAAGGAAAAGUGGGACAAGCACAACAUGUUCAACUGCAACGUCUGGCCUGCUGGUAGAAGUGUGUCUGUGAAACCCAAAGGAGUGUCUAAGGCCCAGGAUUUUCCACCAGAGUCAAAACAGAGUUGGGCUCUGAGCUGCAUAGAGGAUGCCAUUGAAGAGGAUGAGUUCAGCAGUCUGUGGUCCACAACCUCCUCCUUCAUAUUCCUCUUCAUAUCCUCUCUCUUCUAUAGCAUGAUAUUCAGCCUGGUCAAGAUGAAGAGACGAUAAAGGAUGAGAUGGAUGGACAGCAUAGACGACUACAGGUCUCCAGUUUUACUCUACUUUUUUUUUUUUUUAUUUAGUUUUAAAACUUGUACAUUAUCAAUAAUCUACUGCACAUCUACUAAAUGAAGUGGUUGUCAUAGUCAAUGAUAAACUAAACAUUGAAAAUGGAAUUCUUAACUGUUUAUAUGAAUAAAUUUAGAUUGUUAUCACAUCAUGAUACAGAAGUAAAUGAUUACUAAAACUUUUAGUAUCAUUAAAAUGUGUUAGUGAAGUGGUUUUAAACAUGGUUCCUGGCACCUAUUUCUAGGAAAAACACCUAAAAUAACAUACCCAAAAUAAAUCAGUAAUAGCUCCUCAACUAUUAGGCCUAGAUGAAUAAUUCUGGCCUCCUUUGAAAGGUCAGAAGCUAAGGAAUAUAAAUCCAUUGUAGAUUAACAUAUUUAUUUUACCAUUACAGACUACAUGGAUAUGAAAUACAGAAAAAAUGUGAUAU